GAUGAACGCUGGCGGCGUGCCUAAUACAUGCAAGUCGAGCGAAGCGGGGACGCGUGUGUAACACGUGUGUAACCUCCUAUAAGACUGGGACAACCUACGGAACCGGAUCUAAACCGGGCACUUAAAGACGGAUGCGAGCUGCAUUAGCUAGUUGGUAAGGUAACCGUUUACCAAGGCAACGAUGCAUAGCCGACCUGAGAGGGUGAUCGGCCACACUGGAACUUAGACACGGCCCAGACUCCUACGGUAGGCAGCAGUAGGGAAUCGUCCGCAAUGGGCGCAAGCCUGACGGAGCCACGCCGCGUGAGUGAUGAAGGUCUUCGGAUCGUAAAACUCUGUUAUUAGGGAAGCGGUACCUAAUCAGAAAGCACCGGCUAACUCCGUGCCAGCAGCCGCGGUAAUAC
rnacentral:rRNA from 1 species